rnacentral:lncRNA from 1 species
GGCUAAUUCUAAUACAGAUAGAUUUAGCCAUCCUGCACCUCAUGGUGAACCCAAAUUAGACUCUAAUACAUACACUUAGAGUUUAAUUUAAAUCAAAAUUUUGACUAAUCCUAACAUAUAUAACUAGGAUUUAGUUGAUAUUUCAUCUCAUGGUGAACCCAAAUUAGACUCUAAUACAUACCCUUAGAGUUUAAUCAAAUUUUGACUAAUCCUAAUAUAUAUAAUUAGGAUUUAGUUGAUAUUUUGCCUUAUGGUGAACUCAAUGUAAAAUAUGAUUAAGCUCUAACCCAUAAGCUUAGAGCCUAAUUACACUAGACUCUAAGAUAUAAAAUUAGAGUCUAAUUCGAAAUAUUUGGGCUAAUCCUAACACAUACAUUUAGGAUGAAAGCUUAAAUCAAUUUAAUCAAAUCGAACUCUAAUGCACCUAACUAGGGUUUAAUUUGAAUCAAAUCCGAUUAAGUCCCAAUGCAUAUACAUGGAAUUUAAUCAAUCCCUCACUUUAGGGUGAACAAUAUUGUUGAGCACUGAAACAUAUAGAGCCCAAUCAAAUCAAUUUGAUCACACACUUUGAUUCAGAAUCAAGCUCAAUUAACCGUCAUAUUCAUUCAUAUACACUGGGGGUAUGCUCCUGGUUAAGCCAUGUAACUAUACAAUGGAUUAUGUUAUAAAAUCCAUCUUUUAUUCAAUUUCAGUCUAUUUCAGCAUUACAGAGGUCUCUUAAUCGAAGGUGCCCUAACACUUUGAAGGGGUAAUUAACAAUAGACGCUUGCGUUUAUUGGAAGCCAUGAAUCCACAAUACCUGAUUCCCAUACAUAAUUAAAUCUUAAUCUAAAUCAUGAAUACUACCCCACGGUGGAAAAUCAAAAUAAGAUCAACCGUGCGAGGUACG